CCUACGGGUGGCAGCAGUGGGGAAUAUUGCACAACGGGCGCAAGCCUGAUGCAGCCAUGCCGCGUGUGUGAAGAAGGCCUUCGGGUUGUAAAGCACUUUCAGCGGGGAGGAAGGCGGUGAGGUUAAUAACCUCAUCGAUUGACGUUACCCGCAGAAGAAGCACCGGCUAACUCCGUGCCAGCAGCCGCGGUAAUACGGAGGGUGCAAGCGUUAAUCGGAAUUACUGGGCGUAAAGCGCACGCAGGCGGUCUGUCAAGUCGGAUGUGAAAUCCCCGGGCUCAACCUGGGAACUGCAUUCGAAACUGGCAGGCUAGAGUCUUGUAGAGGGGGUAGAAUUCCAGGUGUAGCGGUGAAAUGCGUAGAGAUCUGGAGGAAUACCGGUGGCGAAGGCGGCCCCCUGGACAAAGACUGACGCUCAGGUGCGAAAGCGUGGGGAGCAAACAGGAUUAGAUACCCUAGUAGUC
rnacentral:rRNA from 1 species